rnacentral:lncRNA from 1 species
UCAGUUGGUGAUUCAGAUUCUUUUUAAAGUUUCGGCAAAACGAUCCUUUUCUGUGAAUUUAUGCAGAUUUUGUGAGUAAUGAAGUUGGUACGAUUUAGAUUCCUAGUAGGGUUUCAUGUGUUUAACAGCAAAAAGAUCUUGUUAGAAGUUUGUUGUGGUUGAUGGGAUGACAAAAUGCAUAGUACAACAUGGUCGGUCAAUCGAAAAGGUAUUGAGCUAAACUAAUUCAACAUAACCGUGCUUAUGAAUUAUUUGUGUUUUAGAAUAAUUUUGCUAUAGGGGUUUCGAUGGCCUCCAUAAAAGGCCAACGCUUUUGUGGAUAUUAAUUUUGUAAGAUUAAAAAGUCUGACAUACACACAUUUCUCUUUUUAACAACCGGUUCUUCUUUGAACCUAGGGUUUCAGUCGAACUUUUUUUUUUCUCUAUUUUGGAAAGAUAUUAAAAAGAUUUGAAGUGAGGAUCUAUUUUGAUGGAAGGGUGUGUGCAGGUAUCGGUCAUCUUUGAUCUUCUGAUUUGCUUGUUAUUAAAU